CAUUAAAUAUCUUAAUUUAAAGAUUUGAAUUUUUAAUUCAAUAAUAAUAAUAAUUUUAUUUUUAAUGA
rnacentral:tRNA from 1 species